CAACACGACCGACAUGUUAUCACGUGGAAUAAACAAAUAGCAGCCACAAAGUUUAACUGCUGACAAUCAGGAGGAUGCUUUACCACAGAAGGCACAGUUGAGUCAUGUGGAAGUUUUGCUAUAGCAGAAUCCUGCCUGCCUUCAGCCAAAGCAAGAAAAUCUGCAAAGGGAGCCUCCGAACACAUGAGGUACUAAAGUAGAUUACAUUGCUAACAUUCAUCACAGACUACAGGCAUUGUGCCAUCUCUGUUUCCCACAGAUAAAUGAAACUCCAGCAGCUUUCUGAAUUCACUUUUGAGAAGAUGCAAGGCUCAACACUAAAGUACUGAAUUGGUGCUUCAGUCUUACAACCUGCACCAAAAGUUUUAGAUCUGGUUCCAGUCUCAGGGAACUCUACAUAGCCCAAUUGCCACUACAUUAAAUGAUUGUGCUAUGCUUUUAAAGGUCUUCUUUAUCUGCUGGCGUGGGAACCAGGAUGAAGAAAUGUAUAGGUGCAUAGGUACUGCUCUAAGGGCAUUAGAAAUGAUGUAUGCAAUUUGAGAGCAAAGGUUGUCCCUGCAUGUUGUGUGGUUUGCAGCUGACAUAGGGAAGAAAGAGACAACAUGUUGGUUACCUUACACAAGCUUAAAGUUUCAUGUGGCUUUGAGAAUUUGUCAUCUAGUAAGUAUGCCAUCAAACCUAUGUAGCACUGCCUUGAUAAGUCGCCAUCAGUUUGGACAGGUGAAAAAAGACCCAAACUCAAUAAGCAAGCACUGAUACAG